AUCUGUGCUAACCGUCCGAGCAAAACCAAAUUGCGCGAAGUCCACCACUUUUAUUCUCCGAUCCAGAUUGAUAUUCGCCUUCAAGUCCGGAUCGGUCUAGGUCUACUACGACACAGAUCAAUCAUCCAAUCUCCUCUCGCUGAGCGGGAAGGCUGGAAGGCGGCGACGGACUGGGGAGCGGCGGGAAGGCGGAGAUGGAGUGAUGGACAAGGGAGCGGCGGCUUUGCGAGCAGCCAAGGGAGAAGCUGCAAGGCCGCGGCGGGAAGGCUGCAAGUCGUCUGCUAGCAUCUCCUCCGGCCGCCCCUCCAGCCUGCCCACUGGCGGCGCUCAACUCAUCCGGCCACCCAUCUUCUCCUUCACACGGCGAGACUGACCUCUGAGGUAUUUGGGAAUAGCUGAACUUUAGCACCUGCUGCUGGUGUUGUAUCAAGAUGGAAAUCCAGCCAAUCAGCAAUUGAAUUCGACUAUUUGAACUUGCUAGCUGCUGUCGUACAAGAGGUGAAGGGUAGUUUACUGUUUACUGCUUGUGAUGUACUAUGUGUUCACAAAUUGACUUUCAUUCUGUGACGUUCGACACAAUACCACAAUAAAGGUUUGAUGGAUAAAGAAAGUCACUGAUCUGAAAUGUGGAGCCUAGUUGAAGUGACAAAUUCAUUACUAUUAUUUGCUACUCCCUCCGUCCAAAAAUACUUGUCGGAGAAAUGGAUAAAAAUGGAUGUAGGUGUUAGUAUUUUUUUAUUUUAUGUCCAUGUACUUUAUAAUUUGGACAAGAAGAUUUGUAGGUGUGACUGCCCUAAAGUGUCAAUACUUGAUCCCAAAUAUGUUGGUGUUGGUUGUUCUGUUUCCUAAACAUUCUUACACAUGUUAUUGUCAAAAAUAAACAUUCUUA